CCCUUAGAUGUCCUGGGCCGCACGCGCGCUACACUGACAUGUUCAACAAGCCUCCUAGUUCGACAGGAUUUGGGAAAUCUUUGAACGCAUGUCGUGAUAGGGAUAGAUCAUUGCAAUUAUUGAUCUUGAACGAGGAAUUCCUAGUAAACGCGAGUCAUCAGCUCGCAUUGAUUACGUCCCUGCCCUUUGUACACACCGCCCGUCGCUACUACCGAUUGAAUGGUUUAGUGAGGCCUUCGGAUCCGCGACUCGUUUUGUGGAGAAGUUGGACAAACUCAGUCAUUUAGAGGAAGUAAAAGUCGUAACA
rnacentral:rRNA from 1 species